GACGAAGGAUGCAAGCGUUAUCCGGAUUCAUUGGGUUUAAAGGGCGCGUAGGCGGUUUGGUAAGUCAGUGGUGAAAUCUUUGGGCUUAACCCAGAAACUGCCAUUGAUACUGCUGAUCUAGAGUACAGUUGCCGUUGGCGGAAUAUGACAUGUAGUGGUGAAAUACUUAGAUAUGUCAUAGAACACCGAUUGCGAGGGCAGCUAACGAAGCUGUAACUGACGCUGAGGCUCGAAAGUGCGGGGAUCAAACAGG
rnacentral:rRNA from 1 species